CUGGGGGAAGGCUGUUUACUCU
rnacentral:piRNA from 1 species